AUUGAACGCUGGCGGCAGGCCUAACACAUGCAAGUCGAACGAGUGGCGGACGGGUGAGUAAUGUCUGGGAAACUGCACGAUGGAGGGGGAUAAAUACUGGAAACGGUAGCUAAUACCGCAUAACAUAGGAUGUGCCCAGAUGGGAUUAGCUGGUAGGUGGGGUAAAGGCUUACACAGGCGACGAUCCCUAGCUGGUCUGAGAGGAUGACCAGCCACCCUGGAACUGAGACACGGUCCAGACUCCUACGGGAGGCAGCAGUGGGGAAUAUUGCACAAUGGGCGCAAGCCUGAUUCAGCCAUGCCGCGGGUAUGAAGAAGGCCUUCGGGUUGUAAAGUACUUUCAGCGAGGAGGCGUUACUCGCAGAAGAAGCACCGGCUAACUCCGUGCCAGCAGCCGCGGUAAUAC
rnacentral:rRNA from 1 species